rnacentral:rRNA from 1 species
AUUGAACGCUGGCGGCAGGCCUAACACAUGCAAGUCGAACGAGUGGCGGACGGGUGAGUAAUGUCUGGGAAACUGCCUGAUGGAGGGGGAUAACUACUGGAAACGGUAGCUAAUACCGCAUACCAUCGGAUGUGCCCAGAUGGGAUUAGCUAGUAGGGGGGGUAAAGGCUCACCUAGGCGACGAUCCCUAGCUGGUCUGAGAGGAUGACCGGCAACACUGGAACUGAGACACGGUCCAGACUCCUACGGGAGGCAGCAGUGGGGAAUAUUGCACAAUGGGCGAAAGCCUGAUGGAGCAAUGCCGCGUGUGUGAAGAAGGCUUUCGGAUUGUAAAACACUUUCAGCGGGGAGGCGGUACCCACAGAGGAAGCACCGGCUAACUACGUGCCAGCAGCCGCGGUAAUUC